UGGGGAAUAUUGCACAAUGGGCGCAAGCCUGAUGCAGCCAUGCCGCGUGUAUGAAGAAGGCCUUCGGGUUGUAAAGUACUUUCAGCGGGGAGGAAGGUGUUGUGGUUAAUAACCACAGCAAUUGACGUUACCCGCAGAAGAAGCACCGGCUAACUCCGUGCCAGCAGCCGCGGUAAUACGGAGGGUGCAAGCGUUAAUCGGAAUUACUGGGCGUAAAGCGCACGCAGGCGGUCUGUCAAGUCGGAUGUGAAAUCCCCGGGCUCAACCUGGGAACUGCAUCCGAAACUGGCAGGCUUGAGUCUUGUAGAGGGGGGUAGAAUUCCAGGUGUAGCGGUGAAAUGCGUAGAGAUCUGGAGGAAUACCGGUGGCGAGGGCGGCCCCCUGGACAAAGACUGACGCUCAGGUGCGAAAGCGUGGGGAGCAAACA
rnacentral:rRNA from 1 species